rnacentral:rRNA from 1 species
GACGAACGCUGGCGGCGUGCUUAACACAUGCAAGUCGAACGGAAAGGCCCUGCUUGCAGGGUGCUCGAGUGGCGAACGGGUGAGUAACACGUGGGUGAUCUGCCCCUUACUUUGGGAUAAGCCUGGGAAACUGGGUCUAAUACUGGAUAGGACCAUGCUGUAGGUGGUGUGGUGGAAAGAUUAGUUUCGGUAAGGGAUGAGCUCGCGGCCUAUCAGCUUGUUGGUGGGGUAAUGGCCUAACAAGGCGUCGACGGGUAGCCGGCCGGAGAGGGUGGACGGCAACAUUGGGACUGAGAUACGGCCCAGACUCCUACGGGAGGCAGCAGUGGGGAAUAUUGCACAAUGGGCGCAAGCCUGAUGCAGCGACGCCGCGUGGGGGAUGACGGCCUUCGGGUUGUAAACUCCUUUCAGCCAUGACGAAGCCCUUGUGGUGACGGUAGUGGUAGAAGAAGCACCGGCUAACUACGUG